CCAUCUCAAUUUCAACAAUGGAUCACUCCAUAAAAGCUUGUACAAUAGCUUUUAAAUUUUAGUACGAAAAUAUUUUAUUACAUAAAAUGGUAUAUCAACGAUGUACUAUUUAAUUCGAUCUUUUUAAUUCGCAAGAAAUAGUAAAGUAAACAAAAAUAUAUGGUACCAGCGAAUAAUACAAAGGCAGACAAAAUGUAUGCAUUAUUAGCCACGGUCAUAACGAGGGAAGACGCG
rnacentral:misc_RNA from 1 species